UCGCGGGGUAGAGCAGCUGGCAGCUCGUCGGGCUCAUAACCCGGAGGUCGCAGGUUCGAAUCCUGUCCCCGCAAU
rnacentral:tRNA from 1 species